AGAGUUUGAUCCUGGCUCAGAUUGAACGCUGGCGGCAGGCUUAACACAUGCAAGUCGAGCGGAAACGAUGGUAGCUUGCUACCAGGCGUCGAGCGGCGGACGGGUGAGUAAUACUUGGGAAUCUACCUAGUAGUGGGGGAUAGCACGGGGAAACUCGUAUUAAUACCGCAUACGACCUACGGGAGAAAGGGGGCAGUUUACUGCUCUCGCUAUUAGAUGAGCCUAAGUCGGAUUAGCUAGAUGGUGGGGUAAAGGCCUACCAUGGCGACGAUCUGUAGCUGGUCUGAGAGGAUGAUCAGCCACACCGGGACUGAGACACGGCCCGGACUCCUACGGGAGGCAGCAGUGGGGAAUAUUGGACAAUGGGGGAAACCCUGAUCCAGCCAUGCCGCGUGUGUGAAGAAGGCCUUUUGGUUGUAAAGCACUUUAAGCAGUGAAGAAGACUCUUCGGUUAAUACCCGGAGACGAUGACAUUAGCUGCAGAAUAAGCACCGGCUAACUCUGUGCCAGCAGCCGCGGUAAUACAGAGGGUGCAAGCGUUAAUCGGAAUUACUGGGCGUAAAGCGAGCGUAGGUGGCUUGAUAAGUCAGAUGUGGAAUCCCCGGGCUUAACCUGGGAACUGCAUCUGAAACUGUUAGGCUAGAGUAGGUGAGAGGGAAGUAGAAUUUCAGGUGUAGCGGUGAAAUGCGUAGAGAUCUGAAGGAAUACCGAUGGCGAAGGCAGCUUCCUGGCAUCACACUGACACUGAGGCUCGAAAGCGUGGGGUAGCAAACAGGAUUAGAUACCCUGGUAGUCCACGCCGUAAACGAUGUCUACUAGUCGUUG
rnacentral:rRNA from 1 species